CACGUCUCUUAAGGUGUCGAUGAGUGACGUUUACAAACUGCACUCUCAUUGUUCUGUGGUGCAGUCUGCACCAUUAUUUUAUUUUUGAUUUACAGAGCCAGGGCUGAACCGAAAACCCAGAUUUUUUUUGGAACACACAAAAGCGGCAGCUAACGCAUCUGCAGAUACUUCUGCAUCAGGUCAGUUUGUGAUCAGCCAGCACAGAAAAAUGAUGCGGCUGCCCACUGAGAAGACGUCACAGUGACAUAGGCAGCUUUUCUUGCAGUGUUGCUGCAGAGGACACACCCAUCCCCACUCUGCUGCCUCCUUGUCUUGCUCUCCUUGACCCUGAGAAGUUCACUCACGCACUGCUCAAAGAACUGCAGUCCCCACCCAAGACAACUGACAACUGCUGAAAAGAGGAAAAACACUGGAAGAUUAGAAGGGUGAAAAUGAAUUGUGAGGAUAUUGCAAUUGCUCCAUGUUUGUCAUUGACAUCAUGCAUUUAUGUUUGUUUUUAAUAAGCAAAGCACAGUACAUGUAAAAUAGAAAUAGAACAUGGCUCAAAUAAAAAAUUACAGAGUGAAAUGCAUAUAUGGAGGUUACUUUUUUCCCUUAUUAUUUAUUUAAUU